rnacentral:rRNA from 1 species
CCUUGUACACACCGCCCGUCACACCAUGGGAGUGGGUUGCUCCAGAAGGCGUUAGUCUUAACCGCAAGGGGGACGACGCCCACGGAGUGGUCCAUGACUGGGGUG